rnacentral:rRNA from 1 species
CUAAGCGGGAAGCCCCUCCCAAGACUAAGAUUCCGUUUCCGAUUCGUCGGAAUGAAGAGCCCUUAAAGACUAUGAGGUUGAUAGGCUGGAUGUGUAAGUGACGAAAAUCACUCAGCUAACCAGUACUAACGCUCGACCACUUGGCCA